GCCAACUAUGGUUUUCCUCUUGCCGCGAGAUGAACGACGAUCUCCCCCACCAUCGCCACUACAUCCAGCAUCAGAAGCCAUCUCUAUGUACCACAAAUUAUUUAGCUCAUAUUUAAUUUACAAAUAACUAAACUAUUAAAAAAUUUAAUAUUUCCCACAUAAUUUACUUAUUCUAAAAAUGGCUAAUUCCAUAGCUCUAUCUGAAAAGUACUAAAGUAUGAAAUUACACAUACAAUUUAUAUGGCUAAUUUAUAAAUAUUAAAAACACAUUUACUCUAAUUUUCCCCAUACAUAAAAUUGAAAUAAUCUCAAGUCUACCUCACAUUUACCGUCCAU
rnacentral:lncRNA from 1 species